ACCAAGCUAUAAUAUAGAUAACAUAGAUCAGUAAAUUCUCAGUCUCCAUCCACCUCAUAUAAUAAAGUACUCAUCUCCGCCCAACCCUGCCCUCCAUUUAUCUCUCUCUCAUAUCAUCACUUAAGGGACUAAUCAUGGUUCCAUCUUCUCCGCUCAUCAUCAUGACUACUCUACCUUCAUCAUCAUUUCCUGGAAAUGGAGGCCAUGAAAAGGCGAAAGCCGCUGCAGCAGGAGCAAGAGAUAAGGCCAUGAUGCAUGACCAUGAUGAUGGCGGCCAGUACUCCUCAACUUGAAGUCGAGGAAAACAUCAAUCUGUUUCUUGACUUUCUCUCCAUAAAAGGGGAAUCAAGCCUGUUGGUCCGAUCAUAUCAUAUUUUCAGACUUCGCUUCUUAAUUUAUAUCCUUGGAUCUGCAUGCAUGUUUUCUUUCACUUCUUCAGGAUCUCAUGAAUGUUGAUUGUAGUUUUCUUAAUUUUGUGUGAUCAAGAUUGAGCUUUGUUAUUAUUUCUCAGAUCGUAUCUGUCACGGACAUGGCUUUUUAGUCGUUGUUUGAUACAUAUUGUUUCAAACAUCAUGGAUUGCCAUGGGAUGGUCCCUUCAAGGCGGUGCGAUGGUUGAGACAUGGGAUAUUGUCAUAUGAAAUCUUGGGGUCAAAACUUGGUAUAUCCGAGUGCCUAGAGACAAAUUAGCGGAGACACUGAGUGCAAAUGAAUCACAUGAAUUAUCAUGGGAUGCAGUAGCUGGUAGCUUCAUAGUCUGCUUUACAGCAGUUCUUGUUUAUCUUAUCUAGAAAUAUGAGAAUGCCAUCUAUCUCAACUUCCGAAUGA